AUAGCUGACCUAAAAACCAUGGCAACAAUAAAACUCUUAUGUAACCCUGACACGGCUCAAAGAAAUCAGCAGAUUUUCCGCCUGGCUUUGGUGUUUGGUUAGACAGUUUUGAAGCAGACAGGCAGCAUUGCAUCUAACAAAUUUUCCAUUUGGUAGUGGCAUUUGAUGGUGUUUGAUCUUCCCUAACAAGCAGCUAAACCAAAAUGUUAGGUUGGUGUACUUUCCUGAGUUUGGUUUAAAGAAAAUUUCCCACUUUUCACACUGGUUCUUUGAUUUCUUUAUAUAAAGCUACACAAAGUCAUAGGCCAGUGAAAAUUGUUUUAACGAAGAGUACUGCUGUGUUUUGAAUGUUGGUGCUUCAUAGAGCUUGCUGAAAACAUCUGGAAGAUUCCUCUUCAUCAAAAUUGCCUCUCAGUAAAGAGUCUUCAUUCUUCUGAUCCAGAUCACUCACAGUCAACACCUACAAUCAGAUGUGUUUUAAAUAUGAAGCCUAACACCAGGGACAGACUGGCCAUCGAGAGCACCGGGACAUUUCCCAGUGGCCUGAUGGUUGUUCUGGCCUGCCACCGCUAGGAAUGAAUCUACGGACCACUCAGUCUACGAAUCAGGAAAUCGCGGAGUGAAAAUGACAUCACCACAUGACCCAACUUCAGCAACACACUGCCUAAUUUGCUAUUUCCAGAAGCAGGUAGUCACUCAGGGAGCCAGGGGUGCAGGAGUAAGGCGUGUUGGUGCAGCAAGACAUUUCCAAAAACAGUGUUCCAUCAUUGGAGUGAGAACAUUGAGUACAUCCCUAAUCUCCAAUUCUCUGAUCACGCUGGGGUGUACAAAAUAUCUGUAAAGGGAGUACAUACCUGAGUACAUCAUGCACUGGUGGAUUCAGGCUGUAAUCAAAUCUCAAUCCACAAACUCCAGAGUCACAGCAAGCGAUUGGACAGGGCACUAAGGUUGACGGUGAGGUGUGUGCACAGGUACAUUCACAAGUAUCUGCAGGUGCCUAUUCAUAUUUAUUUCUUGGGUCAAAACCAUAGUGUGGAGGAAGAGAUUAAUCCUCUUCUCAUACAUCCGCUGAUACUUGUAUGAAUUGGUCAGAUUUUUGGAUAUUAGUAAAAGGACUAUUUGUGGACGGGUCCAGCAGUAGCAAAAAACACUAUGUGAAACAUGUCUCUUUCUGACUAGGGAGGCAGUGCCAGAAUCAUUAAUGUCAGUACCAUGUAAGACACCUUGAAGCAAACUGUUGACCAAGUAAAAGUAAUUGACAGUCAUUCCAUCAAGCGUCAAGAGUGAUAUUCAGCUUAAAACCUGUACCAAAUCAAAUAUAUGGAUCAGAGGAUCUGCUGUAGUGAGCCCUAAUAGAAGCAACUGAAGGAAAGCAGUAUUUCUGUAUGCCUCAUCAUAACCAUAUAGCUGGGCAUCUAGUUUCUUGAAAAUGUUCACCUUCGGACAAGGCUACACUCCAGUGGUUCCACCACAUGAAAUAUGCCAACACACUGAUCACACAUCAUUGGUAUCUUGGCCAUUUAAGUUCAGUAACAGUCCACAGGUUGGGGGUGCAAAUGGUGGUGGCAGAUUUCCUCUCUUGCCAGGGAGGGAAGCCCAGAUGGAUACCCAGCCAAGCUUUAGGCAGUGGGGUUAUAUGGUGGCAGGGAUGUGGAUAAAUAACAUUUUUGUGAAUGAAUGGGGAUGUCCAAGAGAAGAGGUGAGUAAUUCCAGGAAUCAGCAUGCAACUGUGGAUUCUUUUUGUUUGGUCCAGGAGGAUAGAAAAAUUUGAAAGCACAUGGAACAAGCAGAACUUGUGUGUUUGUGUGUGUGUGUUUUUCCCUGAAUCUGGUGCUGAAAAGACCCCAGUAAACAGAGCGAGAUAAUAAAAGAAAAAAGUCAAGUCAUGCUAUCUAAAGCCUGCCUCCUGUGUCCUAAUUUAUUGACAGACUUACCAAGGGCUUGACAGCAUUCAUUUACAAUUUACUACCUACUGCACAAUGAGCAUAUGUAGUGAAAAGGAAACAAUUUGAAAUUCAGCAAAAUUGUGGGCUUAUGAAUAAUAUAGCAUGAAGAUAAAUAAAGGGAGGGAGGCUAGUGAUUGUUGGUGAAAAGCCUUUGUGAUUAGCCUUUAUACCAUUUUGUGGUUUAUGUGAUAGAGAUUUAUAGUGUAACACUGGCAAUGUUUGUCUUUGGCAUUAAAAAAUACUACUUCAUUAAUAUUCAAAUGCAACCUGAAAAUGUAGCCUACUUUCUAUAGAACAUAAUACAUGUUAAUGUGUACAAUUCAAAUCAAGGAAAAGUGGGUGAUAUCGCCUCUACUUGUGCAUUUGAAAAUGAUUUUCUCCACUCCACCCACCUCUGUCUUAAACAUAUGGAUUAAACACUUUUAGCUAAGUGCCUCUUUAAGCUAAGUGUAUUUAUCUCCUUUACUCUGAGUGUUUUAUGGCUGUUGCCUUUUUAUUUUUCAUUGUAUUUGAAGCACUCUAAGAUUUUACUGCAGAUAAAAUGUUCAUAAACAUAUUUUCUAGACUUUAAGAUGCAUAGUGUGUGUGUGUGUGUGUCUCACUUCUGUAUUGUGCAUCUGGUUAUCACAAACAGGCUGGAGAAGUGUAGAUGUUGCUCUGCAUUCUGGAUCUGUUCCCAUGUCACAACCAUGAUUCGACCAACAAUCUUCCUCUUCUUCACUGUCACGCUUCUUCUGAAAACGAUUCACCACAUCCACUGUGCUGAUGGAGUGAUUGCUUUACCCUCGUCUGGGUCCCGGUGUAUUCAGCACAUUUCCCAGGAAUACAAAGCAAGACAGGAAAGCAAUUCCAAGGCUUCAUGCACAGUACACACAUGACCACACACUGACAUCUAGGGGCAUUUUAAAGUAGCCAAUCCAUCCCACAUCAAGAAUUCUGUGGUGACAGAAAACAAGGAUAUCUAGAAAAAAAAACCAUACAGACACAGGGAGAACUAUACUCUGCACAGACAGUAAUGCAAACCCUGUACCCUGGGGCUUUUAGGAAGCAACCUGCAGUAUGCAUACAGCACAUAUUUUUAUGCAUUUUGUAUGCAUUUCAGUAAUUCCCCAAGCCAAGCCUUCCUCAAAUGUAGUUUAUUUAAUGCCUGCUAGCGGCUUAUCUAGUUAUGCUUGUUUAGUUUGUAAAAUGAAGCUGUCACAUUGCAUACAGUCCCAUUAUCUUUUACUAUAAAUUGUUAUACACACCCAGUGACUAUAGAACUGUUUGCUUUUGAAAUUGUGAUUGAUUUCUAUGCACAUUUCAUUUGAAAGGACACAGGGGUGCUUUAUGACAAACUUACGCUACUGUCGAGCAUACAUAUUGGACAUGAAUAGAUAACAUAUUUAAUUUUUGGCUUUGGCUGGAAUGUGCUGUAUUUUCUGAUGCUAAGAAAGUGAUCCAUUUGGAGUGUGUGUGUGUGUGUGUGUGCCUGUUUACCUGUAUGUCUGUUCAUGUUUGUAUGUGUGAGUUUAUCUGGAACACUGAGUAUAAUAGGAGCUGACGCCUUCCUCCACUGCAAAUGUGUGUGUGUGCGUGCGCGUGUGUUCAGUGGCUCUGAACUAGAGCAGCAGGAGGAGAGCAGCUCAUUACAGCCACCUCACAACUAGCACAAGCACAGCCUAAUCCUUUACACACACACACACACACACACACAAGCCCUGUCAUCACCAGCAGCAUUUGUGCAUUUUUUUGUAUUGUUCUUCUAACAAUGUCACAAAGCUUUUCAGAAAUAUACAAAUUCAGUAUAUAAGUUUAAAUGUAUAAUGUAACACUAAUAAGCAAGCCAGAGGCUUAGAAAGGAAAAACUCCCUGAGACAAUAUGUCUCACUAAAUUAAUUCUAGAAAUUCAUUCUAGUUUUAACAUGAAGUCUAUUUUGUUAGACUGUUCACUGAUGGAAACCUGUUUAGGGCAAUUGUUUUAAGUGCCCAUUGUGAUCCCACUGGCACAAACCUGUUUAGGGCAAUUGUUUUAAAUAUAUCACAGCAACUGUAGUCUUAAGCCAUUGUAACUAUGUGUCUGAGACUGAGAUUUUUUUUAAGAGUCUCUCUCUCUCUCUCUCUCUCUCUCUGUUCUAUUUUUCAAAUAUACAGUUCAACUAUCAUAGGUCUUCAUUAUCUCAGUAACUACACACAUAUUUAAGAACACUGCUGUAAAAUAAAACACACACACACACACAGGUAAUGGAGAUGUAAUAAAGGAAUAUUUUAGCCUCCCCUUAAUUACCGUUUUAAGCAAAUGUUCUAGCAAAGCAAGUACAUCUAUUUAUAGUGCUGAUUUAGCGAUUUAAGUCAUGUAGUUACUGCAGCAACUGCCUUUUGGCAUAAUACCAGCUUCUUUAAUGCCUUACUUUAAUGAACACUUUAAUCUUUUGUAGAGUAAUCAUAGCUUACUACCAAGAUAGUUAGGUAUUUAUAAUCAAAUACUGCUAAUACUAAUACUACUAAAUUGUAUAUAAUGUAUGAAAAUGAUGUAAAUCAUGUGAUACAGCCUUCAUAGUCAGCAGUCCUCAACUCAGCUGAAUACCUCUGAGCUAUUUUAAAGUGACAUGUUAGACAGUGCUCUCCACCAACAGCAUCCAAACAUCAGCUAAGGGAAUAUCUUUUGGAAGAAUGGGGAACGAACUCUACAGUAGAGUUCCAGACAUUUGUAGAAUCGCUGCCAUGCCAAAAUGAAGCUGUUAGUGGAGGCCCAACUUUUUGGAAGUAAACCCUCCCACCCAGACAGCAUAACAAAUUUUGCUCUCUUGACUAAAUUUCAUAAUAAAGAUAUGAAUAAUUACAUUUUAUGAACUCAAAUGAUAAACUGAAUAAAACCAAAAGAUAAGCUAGCUUCAAGUUUAAGAUGUCCGAUCAGUUUCAGUUCAACAAUGCCACCUGGUGAUCCCCUUCACAGGGACAAACUAAAGUCUCCACAAUGUCAGAAUGUUCCUGCAUUCAUAUCAAUAUUAGGCCAUGUGAACCUCACAAAACGCAAAAUACAUGUUUGUGUCAGGGUUGGACUGUAAACACACACACACAAACACAGUCACAAUAACUUGCAAACAUAUGUCAAUAAAUGCUUCGGUUCAAAUGCUGUGCAGCUUCUGCAAUCUCUAAAACAAAUGCCUGUGUGUUUGUGUUUGCACUCAUCUGUUCCCCUCUGAUGGCCAUGACUGUCUGUGUGUUUACUCUCCAGGCCCAUAUACAGGUGUCCGUAAUCAAAGCUGGACGCAAAGAGAGAGGCUGCUAAUGGCAGAAUGAAGAAGGACAAGCACAAUUGCUGCUGGUGUCAACACAAAGACGUUAGGACGUGUGUCUAUGUGUGUGUGCAUGUGCAGUAUGUGUGUGCGGUAUGUGUGUGUUUUUCUCUGUGUGUAAGAGCUGUUUCUCACCUUCAUGGGAAUGAUGUGAUGGAACCUUAGUGCCCCCUUCUGGUGGAAUUUAGCAAAGCAGCCGACACAGUAAUCCUCAGCGCAUUCUGCACACACCUGACCACACACGUGAAAAUGUCAAAUAUGAAAAAUGUUUUUAAAACAGCAACAUUUACAUUGCAAUGGUCAUCAAAAUGUUCACAGAUAUCAAUUUGAUCUUUUAUACUGUUCGACAUAUUCUAGAAUGAGAAACAUAUUGCCUUAGUAUAAGCCUAAUACGAAAAAGAUUUUUUUUAAAUGUGUUGUAUUUUAACAAAGAAAAUACAUGUAAUCAUUGGUAUGAUGAACCUUUCUGAUAGGAGACAGAAGACAAUUGUUAUUUAUGCUUGAAGUUUCAGUGCGAGCUUGUUGUAACAGUCAGUAGGUUUUCCACCACAGGAAAGUCUUCAGGAUGGAGGAUUUUUCUUUUUACUUUCCAUUAAGUAUAAAUAACUGUAUUCCAUUGUGGAUUGUUUUCCUAUAACAGUACAUCUCAUCAUGUGCUAUUUCUAUACAUAUUCAGUAGUCUCUUCCAGGAUGGUUAUGCCCCAAUCCUCAGUGCAAGAUUGGGACUUCAUGGUUUGAUCAAAUAAUUUAUAAAAUGAUCAAUCAUAUGCUGUGAAAUUCACACAGACCAAAACCUGAAACCAAACAGGAGGGAAACUCAAGCUUGUGAUGUGAUUAGACAGCAGCAAGCAAGGUGUAAACACAUACUGCCAAUGAGCCACAACUCUCAGGUGUGUGUGUGUAGGGGGGGUUUGUUUGUGUGUGUGUGUGUGUGUGUGUUGUUAUAAUGAUACAUUAAAAAUCAAGCUAACAAGCAGCAAAAACUUCAUGCAGACUUCAUGCAGGGAAAUAUUUUGCUUUCAUUCUGGCUUGGCCUUAAUAAAUAUUGAAAUGAGGGGAAACACUAGAUGUCUGUAUCUUCAGGGAGCUCAUUAUUUGUUUUGAAAUAGGAAACGAGUGAAGAAGACAAGAUGAGGAAUGUGAUUUGCGACAAGGCCGAAAUUAUUAUAAAAGAAGCAAGCCAAUACCAAACCACCCACCCACCCCUCUCUCUCACUCUCUCUCUCUCUCUCUCUCUCUCUUCAAAAUGAGAAGCUCUGGGCAUCUCAAAUCACACACACACACACACACACACACACAAACAGAUACACACUCAGACAUACUUGUACAUCCCCCACUAAUAAAGCAAACAUAUUAAUAGAGCCAUAAUAAAAGUCAUUUGAACAAUUACAGCAGAAUAUACCAGACCUACAACUGAAGUUAUGGUAAGUAAAUACAGAACAGUUAUAAAAGGUAGAUAACUUUCCUAUAGAGCCAGAGCAUUUAAGCUGAUAAAAUCAUGCAGACUGCAGAUUGAUGCAAUAUGCAUGGAAGAGUGCCCAGUGUGAUCCCAGUCUUUAGAUAUUGAUUAGAUACUGCAUUGAUCUUGUGAUCUGUUGACAUAAAUCAGUAUGUGGAGUGUCAGUGAUUAUUUUCAUUCAUUCAUUCAUUCAUUCAUUCAUUCAUUCAAUCAAUCAUUCAUUCAUUCACUUACUCACCCAUUCAUUCAUCUUCAGUAAUUACUUUAUCCUGAUCAGGGUUGUGGUAGAUCCUGGGAACACUGGGAUGCCAGUCCAUCACAAAGCACAAUGCAUACACACACACAUUUAAAAAGGCAAAAUUUGCAAGCCAAUCCACUGACUGGAGACUGAAAAAGCAAGAGGUAACCAACACAGACAUAGGGAGAAUGUGCACAAAAACUUCAGUAAGCUAUACUUAGAACUAGGGACAACCCUGGAGCUGUAAGGAAACAAUGCUUCCCACUGCAUCACAAUUUCACAGCUUAGAUUUUCUCCUAAGAUUAUUGGAUCAGUGGAUGGAGUUAAAGGUUUGGUUGCAUUCAGAAACCAAGCCUGUGCAUUUUGAAUGGCAAGUGAGACAGCAAAGAAAUGGCAUUAGUCUUAUCGAUAUGAGCAUCUUUACUGACCUUAUAGGCAAUCAUUAAAUUAUCAAAGUGGAGCCCAUUGAUUGCUCCCAAAAAGGCCAGCGAUGAUAAUAGAGUAUAGCUUCCACAGGUUUUAGUAGUUGACUGAAGGAUGAUUUCAACAAGCAAAUGAGAGAAAUGCUAUCUUGGCUCGCAAUGAGAUACAAAACUAAAGCAAUAUGUUAAACAUCAUUUGCUGGACAAUGUUUAUAAAGGGACUGACAAAGUGUUACUGAGGAGAUGGAACUCAAAAGAUUGGUACAAAUUAGCAAUGUUUUCGAAGCACCAGAAUUGUUCCAAACAAGCCGUAAAGAUGACAUUAUAUUAACCUUGAGUGAUCAAACAAGAAAGCAGAAGAAAGAACCUUUAGGGAAAGGUUCAGGGUGUGUGUGUCAUAAAAUGUCCUCUGGCUGGCUCUAUAGGAAUAGAAUUUACAGGAAAUAUUUUAGGGAUAGCAAUAGACAUGCAUAUGUUGUCUUUGUGAUAAUCAUGGAUUCAACUGAAGCAAUCAAUACAGGAGUAGGAAACUGGGUGUAAACUCCAGGAUGGUAGUAGGAGGCUAUUUGUGUGUGACAGAGCACACAGCGGCUUCUCUGGUGUGUGAAAGCAAUGUAUACGUGAUAGCUUUGGAAUGAACAGAAGACAUAUGCUUAGGAGUAUAUAGAGUGCAGGAUCUUAGAGAGAAAGGACAAAAAUUGCUUUUUAAAAGAUUAAAAGUUGGCAAAGCAGUAGAGUGGGAGAUGUUCUCAUGCUGGAGGUGUGAUGUAGUGAUGAUUUAAUGGGCUUGUUGCUAUGGUGAUGUUGGCUAUAGGCUGAGCUACAUGGCUAAACGUUAAGAGGUAGACUAUUAGCAUAAUGCAGUAUAUUCUGUUGGCACUCUUGGGACAAGUGAAAGCAAACAUACAAACUUUUCAAGCUGUGACAUCACUGAAAAUAUGAACAUCAAUCAUAAUAUGUAAAAUUAUACUAUGACUACAAUUAGCAUUUGCUGCAAACCUAACUACUGAGGACCUGCCAUAAUAUCUUGCAAUCCUAAUUCACUAUAGUAAACUAGUGAACACCACAAAACUGCACCAUUAAUGUGAGACCUUCUAAACAAUAUAAACUGAUUUAAUUCUAGCUGGAGGAGGACUAAUUGAAUUGGAUAUUAUAAGAGUCCUUGCGUAAGAAAAAAUAAUGGAAAUGUUUAUUUUUCACAUGCAUUACAUUAUUAAUAUAUUUUUAAAUGAUUCAUUAA